CUACGGGUUGCUGCAGUGAGGAAUAUUGCACAAUGGGGGGAACCCUGAUGCAGCAACGCCGCGUGGAGGAUGACGCAUUUCGGUGUGUAAACUCCUUUUAUAUGUCAAGAAAAUGACGGUAGCAUAUGAAUAAGCGCCGGCUAACUCCGUGCCAGCAGCCGCGGUAAUAACGGAGGGCGCAAGCGUUACUCGGAAUCACUGGGCGUAAAGGACGCGUAGGCGGGUUGAAAAGUCAGGUGUGAAAGCCUACAGCUUAACUGUAGAACUGCACUUGAAACUCUCAAUCUAGAGUAUGGGAGGGGCAGAUGGAAUUAGUGGUGUAGGGGUAAAAUCCGUAGAUAUCACUAGGAAUACCUAAAGCGAAGGCGAUCUGCUGGAACAUUACUGACGCUAAGGCGUGAAAGCGUGGGGAGCAAACAGGAUUAGAUACCCCUGUAGUC
rnacentral:rRNA from 1 species